UCUAAGAAAUCCUAAAUCUUAAGAAAACCUAAAUGCUAAAAAACCCUAAAAACCUUUAAAAAUCCCAAAACUAAAAAACCCUUAAAAACCAUAAACCCUAAAAUUAUCCUUAAUCUAAAAUCAUAUGCCCUAAGAAACCCUAAACAGUAAAAAUCAAUAAUGAUCGUAAAAUAUCUUUAAAAAUCUUUAACUGAAAAAAACUCUUAAGAUUAAAAAAUCCAACAAAAACUUGAGGUCUAAAUCCUAACCUAAAAACCCUAAACAAAAAAAACCUAAACCUAAAACUCUAAACCCUAAGAAACACUAAAUGCUAAACCCUAUACCCUAAGAAACCCUAAACCUAAAAAAUCCAAAAUAGAAACCUUG
rnacentral:lncRNA from 1 species